rnacentral:piRNA from 1 species
UGCCUGAUUCACCCACCAGCUUUAUCUGU